ACUACUGUUACUAUGACAUGGGGGGAUCUCUCAAACGUGACAUUGGACAAAAGAGACCAGGCACAGAAUAGUACACAUUAUACAAUUCCAUUUAUAUGAAGUUCAAAAACAGGAACACAUUGAGAGCCAGAGUCUGCAAGAGAAUGAGGCAACAGUUGACUUUUCUUCAACCUGAAUUUCACCUCCUCCUCCCUUCCUGUGAUCCUCUCUUCAGCUUCCAGGCACCAGCUCCCAGCAGAAGCGGAAAGUAUUGAAAAGGCCCAUGGGCAGACAGCCAGCAAAAAGAAGAAGCUGAAACAUCCCACAGCAGGGAAUUGCUAUGUAUGUAAGCCCCAUUUCAAGAACAACUAAUACAGAAAAAUCCAAAUCUUAAAACCUACAAAUUAGUGCACGAGUACUACAACUGAUGUGCCUUACAAACAGAUUUUUACUUAAUAAACAGACUCACUGUGAGAUCUUUGGCCAAUGGUU